GGGCCCGCACAAGCGGCGGAGCAUGCGGAUUAAUUCGAUGCAACGCGAAGAACCUUACCAAGGCUUGACAUGGGCCGGACCGGGCUGGAAACAGUCCUUCCCCUUUGGGGCCGGUUCACAGGUGGUGCAUGGUUGUCGUCAGCUCGUGUCGUGAGAUGUUGGGUUAAGUCCCGCAACGAGCGCAACCCUCGUUCCAUGUUGCCAGCGCGUAAUGGCGGGGACUCAUGGGAGACUGCCGGGGUCAACUCGGAGGAAGGUGGGGACGACGUCAAAUCAUCAUGCCCCUUAUGUCUUGGGCUUCACGCAUGCUACAAUGGCCGGUACAAAGGGUUGCGAUACUGUGAGGUGGAGCUAAUCCCAAAAAGCCGGUCUCAGUUCGGAUUGGGGUCUGCAACUCGACCCCAUGAAGUCGGAGUCGCUAGUAAUCGCAGAUCAGCAACGCUGCGGUGAAUACGUUCCCGGGCCUUGUACACACCGCCCGUCAAGUCACGAAAGUUGGUAACACCCGAAGCCGGUGGCCUAACCCCUUGUGGGAGGGAGCUGUCGAAGGUGGGACUGGCGAUUGGGACU
rnacentral:rRNA from 1 species